CACAAAAUGUUUUUUCAUUUAAGUCCAGUUCCCCAUUUUUUAUAACUCACAAAGGUAGUUAGCACUGGACAUUCCUCAACAACAACGUAUCUACAAUUUGAGUGAAGAAUGUAAGUUUACUGAAUACAAAAUUUAAGCCUCCACCAAGAUUCAAACUCCAAAAUCUCUAGCAGCUAAGAGAUUUAUAUUUGGACUUGGUUCUAACAAAAAUAAAUUGAAGAACAAAGUUAAUGAAAUCUAAGGAAAUAAGUGAUUUUUGUGAUUUUGAUUUUAGGCACAUCGGCACAAUUUAGGCCAUGUCGUGCCUGCAGUGCCGAAAGGACUACUCUCUCUCUAAACAACAAGGGCCAGAUUCUAUAGUCAUAUCAUUAAAAUCAAGGUCUAUUCACAGUUAAAAUAGUAAAGAAACCACAAGUUGGAGAACUAGUGAUAGGUUAGUCAGUCCCUUAGGAAUAUAAUACAAAUUUAAAGACAUUGAGCUUUCACUAUAGCCUUAAUACAUAAUUAAUAGUUGUAAACCUGUGAAAGAAUUUUUUAAUAAAGCUAUGUAAUGCCAUUGUGAAAAUUUGUUGUUGUUAAGAAUGCAAAAUACAUAAAACAAAAUGAUUCAGCCAGCAGUGUGAACAAAAACAUGUAGAUUUCUGGCAAACUUAAUGCAAUAUAGUUUUAUAAUUUUCAAGAGAAAUUAUAAUUAAACCUCUUGGGUGAAUGGGAAUAGUAGUUCAUACCUAUGUUAUGUCUUUGAGAAUUUCUUAUAUUCUGAAAUGUUGAUGAACUUUACCCAAACUGAAUUUUAGUAGCCCAAACAAUCCCCAAUUUUUAUUUUUUUGGGGGGUCAAAAUUUAGAUCUAUCUAAAUGUAAAUUCAUUAAAAUAUUUAUUUUUUUUCUGUAAAUUUUUGUUUCAUUUAAAAGCCAGAUCUAAGUCAUAAGCUAGAAAGUAUGUUAGCUUUCUUAUUGAAAAAAAAAAAAAAAAGAAAAAAAAAAAAGAAAACAAAUUGAAAAUACAGACCUGCCUACCAAAAAAAGUCCAAAUGUGUAACACUGAUGGUCAAAAUGUGUAUUUUGGCAUCAGAAUGUGUAACACUUGUGCGAUCGACUAUUUUGUCAAAUAUUAUAUAUAUAUAUAAUUUAAAAGCAAAAUAACAUAUUAUAUUUAGAUCUAGAUAUAUAUUAAUUAAUUAAGGAACACAAUUUCCUUUUUAAUUAAUAGGCCUACAGGCUAUCAAAUCUGUAUCACAACUGCCACUAGUAAAUUUAGAAUCUAGAUAUAGAUCUAGAUAAUCUAUUUAUCUAGAUCUAGCUCUAGUAGUUGCAGAGAGACUGGAUCUUAAAUCUACCUAAUUAAGCUAAUACAUUAAUUUAUAUUAACUUCUAAUACUAUUAUAGUAAUAGUAUAGAGAUCUGGUCUAAAGUCUAGAUUCUAUUAUUUUUUUUAUAGAUACCAGCAAAGACAAGUAGAACAAUUAUAGAUGUAGAAUCUAUAAAGAUCUUAAUCUUAGCCUAAAUGUGUACUACGAUCUAGAUCUAGAUCUCAUGUGGUUUUAUUAUUUACACAUCUUCUAGAUCUAACUAUAUUGUGUAGAUUUAGAAACUUUAGAAUAGAUUACUGUCGUGCACAUCUUGUUUGGUAUUUUCUUUUGAGCACCAUAAGGUUUCGUAAGUUUCUGUUCCUAAGGAUGCGCUAUAUUGGUGUCAUUGUUCUCUUGUUUUGCCUUGAGAUGGAGUUCUCUUGUUUUGCCUUGAGAUGGAGUUCUCUGGGUGGUGGUCUUCUCCAGUAUUGGGUAAGUUAGUUUAUUUUACUACCUUCUAAAUGUCGUAGAUCUAAAAUCGUUUCUUUUAUAAUCGUGCAAAUGGCGGUAUCAAAGGAGUGUGUAUUUUUCUUAUCUAGGGACGCAGGCUUGGGACUCUGCUGGAGUCGAGUCUGAGUUGUAGGCUUGGUAUUUGACUAUUGCCUGUGGCGUUGGGGUGGGCGUUGUGAGCCCUGAUCGACUAUGGCACCGAGAUUAAGGAUGGCUUUGAGUGACCUACGUGACCGCUCGUAAGUUAGUCAAGAGAGGGAAAAAAGGAUAUGAAAUGCGCAACGAGGAGGGUAUUUCGUAUUUGCGUACUGAUGGUCAUUUUUGGGAGAUUUUGUGUGUAACGGUAGGCAGGUCUGAAAAUAUGUAAUCUUACUAUGACAACAAAGUCUUUUAGAAAAAUAUUGAAAACAUUAAUUGGGCAAAGAUUCAAGUGUCUGGACAAAUUUAAAUGACUACCUAUGAGAAUCCUAGCAAAAUAUAUAGGAUUUGAGGAUUUUUGGAAACA